GGGAAUAAACCUCCGUUCGUGAACGGAGCUGAAGGUACCUGAAGAAUAAGCAUCGGCUAACUCCGUGCCAGCAGCCGCGGUAAUACGGAGGAUGCAAGCGUUAUCCGGAUUCAUUGGGUUUAAAGGGUGCGCAGGCGGAUUGGUAAGUCAGGGGUGAAAUCCCACAGCUCAACUGUGGACCUGCCUUUGAUACUGCUAGUCUUGAGUAUAGUUGAAGUUGGCGGAAUGUGUCAUGUAGCGGUGAAAUGCUUAGAUAUGACACAGAACACCGAUCGCGAAGGCAGCUAGCUAAGCUAUAACUGACGCUCAUGCACGAAAGCGUGGGGAUCAAACAGGAUUAGAUACCCUGGUAGUCCACGCCGUAAACGAUGAUUACUCGAUGUUGGCGAUACACAGUCAGCGUCUGAGCGAAAGCAAUAAGUAAUCCACCUGGGGAGUACGUUCGCAAGAAUGAAACUCAAG
rnacentral:rRNA from 1 species